rnacentral:lncRNA from 1 species
CAAUGAAAUACCAUCUCACGCCAGUUAGCCUGACUCCCUCUCUCCAGCUGCUUUCCACACUUCCAAUACCCAGAUCAUGUCAUAUGCCCCCUGUUACAUUUUUUUGAGCCCCAGUGUCCUUAAAAUGAAGUCUGAAUUCCUAAUAUGACAUUUAGGCCCUCCAUGGUCCAAGGCUAUCCAUGUUCCCAGACAGAGUCUUCCAUGAUAACUCCUUUACAUCCUGCUGUCUUGCUGGCUGCAUUGUCUAUCUUGUUAUAAACUUUUAUUUCUCUAU